UUCAAAACCCAUGAAAGAGGAGAUAAAACACAACAGAUCUACAGCAUAAAGUUGAGAUCUUUAGCUAGCAACAUCAAAAAGAUCAGAUGUAAGGGAAGUGAAUUCUCGAAACUCGAGGAUUAGACUUCGUCAAGAAUCGACUGAUUGUCGAGCGUGCGAGCUUCGGAGAGUCCGAAGAUGGUCAUAAUGCAUAAAGUGCAUUGAGGGAAUGUCCGCGAGAGUACCAGUGCAAAAGCAGCACUGGAGCAGAAAUGCUCUCGGGGACCGGUCCCUGGCAGGGAGGGACCGGUUCCAUCGGGCUGGGCUGCGGGGGUCUCUGAUGAGACCGGUCCCUGGCAGGCAGGGACCGGUUCCCGAACGUUGGCCCAGCGAGAGAAGCCGAAAUUUGGCUAAGUCCCGAAAGUGUUGCUCUCGGGAACCGGUCUCUCGGACAAGGACCGGUCUCCCGGGGACCGGUCUCUCAGGCAAGGACCGGUUCCCGAACGCGAAAUGUAAUAUACCGAAAAUUCGGAAAAUAAAUGUCGAACUUUAGUCAAAUUGACCAAAGUGCGAGGAUGGUACACUUCGGAAAGUCCGAAGGUAUUAAAAUGAGUAAAAGUGAGUUAUGGGAGGUUUUCGAGAGCUAAAGAAUCAAAUUCUGCAAAACUGCAGAUUUUGAGCUCUCGGGGACCGGUCCCUGGUGGGAGAGACCGGUCCCCGAACGCGUAUGAUGUGAGACAGCCGAAAAAUCGGCUAAGUCCUGAGGAGUUAGCUCUCCGGAACCGGUCUCUGUCUGAGAGACCGGUCCCCCGGAGACCGGUCCCACAAGGAGAGACCGGUUGCACUGCGCGCAGUAGCUCUGGCUGCGCUGGGACGACGUUCGGGAACCGGUCCCUGAAGGAGAGACCGGUCCCUGCCUGCGCGAUCCGCCCAGUUCGGGCAGUGUAUUAAAGUGAAAGUUGAGGGGUUUAGCUGCAAUUUUGCAACCCAAUAGGCUAUGUAUUAGGGUAAAUGAGAGAUUUCUCUCAUUUCUACCCUCUCAUUCCCUCUCAUCCCUCUUUCUCUCUCUAGAAGACAAAGAAGGAGAAGAAGAAGACAAGGAAAGGAGGGAAAAGAAGGAAAAGAAAAAGGAGAAGAAGAAGAGGAAGUGAAGAAAACCUCUCCUCUCCUUCUCUAGCUUGGAAAAGGAGCAAGUUUAAAGGUAAGCCUUGCCCCUUCUCAUGCUAAAUUCCAAACUAGGGUUUGGAUUAACCUAGAAAUGGUUUUAAGGGAGUAUUUGAAGGGUUUUGAAGCUUUCUUUUGCUUCUUAAGAGAUCAAAACCUAGAUUUGCUAUAGAGGUAAGCUUGGACCACCUCUAAUGGUGAAAUCUAAUCUAGGGUUUUGGAAAGCCUAAAAAUGGUUCUAAUGGACUAAUUAGAGUAUAAUGAAGCUACUUUUGCUUCUCUUUGAGAUCAAACCCUAGGUUUGACAUUGUGUAUUGGAGCUAGGGACACAAUUGGGCUUUUGCUCAUGAGGGUUUAUAAGUGCAAUUGACCUUUAGAACUAAUUGGGGGUAUUCCGACGCGUUGGUGCGCUGCAUUAACGUUACGAAAAACCGGAUGAAAGUUAUGGGCAAAAUGGCUAAGUUGCUUCGUUUUGCCGCAGGUAAAGAAGAAGGAUCUAAAAAUCCCGAGAAAAAUGUCGGAGCACUAAAGAGACCUACGAAGUGGUGUGGCUUUUCAAAACAUUGAAAUUUCUCUAUGCCUAAUGUGCAUCUCUUUGAGCAUAUGUUCUAUAUAUUGUUAUUGCAUUUUAGGUAAAGUAAUGAUAAUGUAUGAUUGCAUGAUUGUGAGCACAAAUGCAUAAUGAGAUGGUUGAGAACCUAAUAAUGUAGAACCCUAGAUGUGUGAGAUAAAAUGUGAGUACACAAAGUGAGCAAUAAGAACAGAGUGGCACAUGACAUAGAUCGAGUGCAUUUGAAAAUGUAAAGUAAGAGACACUAAGAUAGUGUGAGUAAAGACGCAAUUAAUGUAAAGAAUGCUGAAAUGAUAAUGCUUAAAGUUAACGCAACUGGGGAAGUAAAGAAGUGAAAAUGCUAGAGUACCAAAAGUAAAGAAUGUAAAGAUAUAAUACUAGAGUUAGCAAAAGUAAAGAAAUGUAAAGAAUGAUUGCAUGAGUUUGCAACAUGAAGUGAUAUAAUGAACACUAGAGCUGUGUAAAGUCAAUGAUUGAACUUAUAGUAUUUGAUUAAGGAUAUGAUCAUGCUUGCUAUGAGUUCCGUGCUCGAGGCGUGUCCCCUCGAGCGAUGCGCUCGAGUUAUGAGCUCGGGUGGAGUAAACCGACGGCGGUCCUAGCUGGUGAGAUUCUGCGAUGAGGACUUAAUAGUGUAAGCAAGUUAAUGUGGCGAAGCCCCCGGUUAGCUUAAUGAUUAAAGAACAAAGAACAAAGAACAAAGAGCAAAGAAUAAAGCACAAAGCACAAAGUAAGUCAACAGAAUUUAAAGAAUUUGCAUAAUCUGCAUUUAUUUAAUGUGAGCAUACUUCUUCUUAUUGUUCAGGCAUAUUAGCAUCAUGUAUAUAGAUUGGUUAUAUACAGCUUAUUCUUUUACUAUGCCUGAGUUAGACCUAGUGGGAAAGUCGGUGAUGUUGAGGCCGAACCCACUGGGAACUUUGUUGUAGUUCUCACCCCACUAUUUCCACAGAGCCGGGACCGAGCGAGCCGGCGAGCGACCGAGGUAAAGGUAUCGCGCCUUAGUAAGAGGCCACCAAAGUUGGGUACAUUUUGUUAGCAAACACGCUUUUGUCAUCUUUUGUAUUUGAUGAUUAGCAAUGUGAAGAAAAGAAUGUAAAGCUUAUUUUGAGGUAAACGUGAUGUAAGAAAGAAAUGAUGGAAUUAUGUAAUGAAAUGUAAAGAAUCCUAAAUGUAACAGAUGGAUGCAAUGUAUAUGAUCUAAUAUGAAUCAUAGUACUUGUGUAGAAGUUUAGUUUUCCUAUCUUUCACUAAUGGCUACGGCUUACCCUCGUGUAAGCCGUUUGUGUAUGUUUCCGCUAGUGCAAUUCUUGUUUGAAUUUUGCACAUGUGAUGAGCCUUGGGCGGACAGGGGAAACUCUGUCCGUUCGGCGUCUGUUUGACGUGCUCGGGUCGGGCCAAAUUGGCAUCGGUCUCGGGGCGUGACACGAAAUCCCCUCUGCCUGUUGUGUAGCUUUCGGGGACCGGUCUCCCCGAGCAGGGACCGGUCCCUCACUGCGAAAAUAGCCCAGGGAGGGCUGUUUCAAGAAGUGAAAAGUUGAGGGGUUUAUUUGCAAAGUGGCUUAUAAGAGAGGCUAUGGGACCCCUCUCUCUCUCAGUUGCCCUUUUCCUCUCUCACACUCUUUCCCUCUCUCUCUCUAGAAAGGAAAAGAAGGAGAAGGAGAAGAAGAAGAAGGAGAGGAAGGAAAAGAAGGAGAAAGAGAAGGAGAAGACUAAGAAGAAGAAGAAGAUCGUCUUCUUCUCUCCCUCUUCAAGCUUGGAGCUUGGUAUUGAGGUAAACCUCAAACCCUUUAAUGGCGGAUUUUGGAAGCUAGGGUUUUAUAGCUUGGAAUUGGUUCAAGUGGAACCUAUUGAAGCUAGGGAGAAGGUUCGAGCUCGAAAUCGAAGCUCGCACCGCGGAUUUCUCCAAUGUCGAGAUCUAGGGCUUCGAUUUGGGAUUUUGGCAAAUCUAGGGUUUUGAUCUAAUUUGAAUGGUCGCAAACCUAAUUGCUAGGUCCCUGAACGUGUAGGCGGAGACAGUUCGUCGAUCCGUCGAGUAGGUGCGAAGUUAUCGCCAAGAAGACCUUCGGAGCUUCGUUCUCGCCUAGAAGGCCAACGAGGCGUCGAGACAUCGGCGAAUCGCAAUCGAAGAGUCACGGCAUCACCACGAGGUGGGGGAGUGCCAUCCCGAAGCAGUCGGGCUGCUCUUUAUGUCUGAGUAUCAUUAUUGAUCAUUUACAUAUUGCGAUAUAGCAUUAUAGGGUGUUAAAUGUGAUUGUGCAUAUCCUUGCAUGCUAGUGAUGUUUUAGGUUGUGGAUACCAUGAAUGAAAACCUAGUAUGCAUGAGUUAAAUAUUAUGAGAUAGUUCACCCUAUAUAUGAUGAAUAUGUUUAUGUGAAUAUGAACCUAGUGUAUUAGAAACUAGUGUAUCAAGAACUUGUCAAGAGAACGAGUGGCAUCUAGUUAAUCUUAAACAUUGAACGAGUGGCAUUAAGUAGUGCAAGAGCGGCAUGAGGACAUUAGUAUAGUGAGAUACUAUGUUGCUAUCACCCCUGGUUGGUUAGGGUGUUCCCAGUUCAUGAGAUUGGAUCGAGCUCACUUAGCCUGUCUGCACCUGUGGAAGUAGCUCCUCACAGGUAGUGCACUCCGGAGUUUGGCACGCGAGGGGGCCAGUGUAGUGCCCUUGGACCAGUGUAGUGUCUGCAGGCGGUCUCGGGGUAGGUGAAUAGCUAGCCACCUCUCCUAUGAGACUUAGAGACGUGAGACUGUGAGCGGGCCUUGCGUUCGCCGAGAGAUUGCGUUCGCCGAGAGAUUGGGUAAUCAGAUGAGUGACCUUGUUGUUGAACAUGGUAGUGAGACAGCCAGCAUUCUUACCAUGAGUUGUGCAUGCAUUUCAUUAGAUUGAGGCAUUGAUAGAUCAUAGUUGUUUAUUACUGUUACUGCUUUCAGUUUAUGUAUCUAUCUAUCUGCAUAUCUAUCUGUGCCUGCUUAAGACCUAGUGGGGAGAUCGGCGGAGUCGGCGGCCGAACCCACUGGGAACUAUUCGUAGUUCUCACUCCACCACAUUGCAGGUCCGAGCUCGAGCGUCCCCGGUGAGGAUCGCGGCAAGGGCGUAGCGCCCUAGUGACAUUGGUAGAGGCUACUUCCUUUAUGCAUUAGUUACACCCUGUACCUAUUUUGAGAGUAGACGAUGUAUAGGGUGAGAUUUUGAGUGGAUUGUAUCUACAUUUUGUAUAAAUGUAAAGAAUGGAUAAUUGUAUAAGUUAAUGAGUUAAUAGUUAAGUACAUCUCUCUUUUAUCACUUGUAUGCCUUACAUGUGUUGCUUGCUCUUGUUUGGUAAGCACUGGUUGUGCUCUCGUAAUUGUUGUGGUUGGUUGAUUGUGUAUGUAUCCAAGUUGUUCCUGGGAACUUGUUGUACACAAUCUAGUGGUUGAGCCUUGGGCGGACAGAGGAGGUGCUGUCCGUUCGGCGGUCCGCUCGCCGCGCCCGAAUCGUGCCAAAUAGGUAGCGGACUCGGGGCGGGGCGUGACAUCAGAACUUCCACACAGAUCAAGAGAUUUGUAAUGGCAAAACCCUAAAAUUUGCCGUAAAAUUGCAUGAUUCAAAAUUGGUAACCUGGAAAAGGGGAAAAAUACUCUAAAAAAAGGAGCUUUUUUUUUUGCAGAAACAAAAUUUAAUCUGUAGAUAAGGAGCAAUUAAAGGGUGAGAGAGAGAAGGAGAGGGAAAAAAUAUAUACCUAAAAUGAAAAUUUUAUCUAAGAAGCUCAAAAUACCUACCCUAAAAUGGAGAGAGAGAGAGAGAUAUAUAUAAAAGAGGG
rnacentral:lncRNA from 1 species